AUUCCUGGCUCCCGCUCUCCUCCAAGACUUUCCCGCAGGUCAUUGCAGAUCGCCACCUUCUGCCAAAGGUUUUCACCGACUCUCUGGUCCGACGAGGAACGCUGCUGAGCCUGACUCUAGCAGGAGGAAAGCCCCACGCCUCUGUCUUGGGAUACUCAAACCACACCUCCCGGGCAAGGGCUCCCCUGGGGAGGAAUAUGAGCCACAAUUGUAUGAAAAUCUUUCCUGGACACCUUCGGAUAAGAUGAAAUAAACUUGGAGAAUGGCAUCUGUGUUGGAAGAAAGUUCUGGACUCCACAGUGGCUUGCUCCAGAAAAGCCAAACCAUCAGCUCUCUUGACAGCACAGAGAAUGCCAGUGUGUGGGAAACAGACCGCGGUCACCCUGAGCGGCAAGGGGCUUUCCAGUGCUUAGGCUCUGAAUGUGAAACAUUUUAGAAAGAGAUGAAACAAUUUUUUUCGCUUGUAUUUUCCUAUGUGUUUGAAGG
rnacentral:lncRNA from 1 species